CGGCGUGACGAGCGAACGCUUAAACCAGUACACUAUCCGAACCGCCCUCUUUAUUUGAGAAAAGGCGUGUGAUUUUAAAAUGCUCACAGCAAUCAAUCUAAUGCAGCAUUACCUUUCCUUUGUCACCGAUAAUUAUGGUUGUUGUUGGGUUUUUUAAAGAUGCUAAGAAGGUUUUUUUAAGGGCUCAAGAGCCCAAAUAUGUUGGUCCUUUUAUGAUAAAUUUACAUUUUUAAAAAGGAGUCGAAAGUGGGGCCUGUGAUUACGAGGGGUGAAUGAUCAGUUUGUUUUGGCCUUUUGAAUUUGUAGAGUUCAAACAAAAACGUUUAUGUUAGAAACACGCCACACUUGUUUUGUUCACAUGAGAAUGUUUCCUUGGUCCAGUCAUUCAGACAUUCGGAAAUCUCGCACCGUUCCGGUCAUUCGUGACCAAUUCGUGUUAUUCCGGGACAAGCCGAAUAGCGAUUCUUGGUGGUUACGGAAAGGGGCGAGUGGUGACGAAUGCGUUCCGGUAUUAAUGGCGAAGUUCGUUUUACGGAAAUAGGCGAAUGGUGGCGACUUAUGCCGGAAGUUGCAUAAUGUAGCGGUUAACUGAUAUCGUACGAUUGUUUUACUGGUUGUAAAUAUAUAUUGUUUUUGUGCAAUACUGAUCUCAAGUGUCCUGGACACGUUGCAUAAUGUAUUUAUUUACAGUUUAUAUAUGUGCGGUAUAUCACAAAGUUCUUGUUAUAAACAUUUAUCGGACUUUAAAACAUGGUAUACAGUGUUUAUUCCAUUGCAAUGUCAUUAUUUCAAGUUAUGAACACGAAUUGCAAUAUUUUACGAAUCCAUGAUUUGUAAAGAAAGGUGAAGACGAUUAUUAUUUACAAAUGGCUACUCGCAGGCAACUUAAUUUUUAUUAUUUUACUUUUUUUACCGAAAUAUUAUUUGAGAGAUUAUUGACAAACAAAUAAUAUUGGCCUGCUCAUUAUAUUACGAAACAGUUUCCUUUUUCACUUAACACGAAUAUUUAAGAUGGGACCAGAUUUUGACUCACAACUCAUCUUAAUGAUCGAUUUUUCGUCUGGCAAUUUUUCUUAUAUUCUACCAAAGUUCAAGAAUACGGGAAUUUAAUCCAAAGUGUAUCUGUUACAUGUUUUAUUACUGAAGUAAAGUAUCGGAUGGAGACUGUAUAGUUGCUAUGCGUUAUAUGAGCAGUUUUCCGGUUGAAUACGAUGCUUUAUCAGGUUGCAUUUCUGUGAUUUUGACGAGAAAUGAAUAAAAGUGAUUCUUUGAACAACA